AAACUGUGUUGCGCUCAGCCCGACAAACUGAACCAGGGGCUUGCAGGGGUGAGACCACCACCCUGCUUAGAGUUCGGACAAGGUCAUCAAGCUUACCCCACUGUGACGCGUCGAAAACGGAGGCGGCAGGUGGUUGGAGCGGUGAGAACCCCACUGUGAGUUCGUUACAUGGCGAGCAAAUGGUGAUUCUCUGCAACGAUUUUGGAGAGCUGAACUCCCCUGUCUCCAUUGGUUUGGGUUUUGGGGUUUGUGAUUUGGGAUUUGAGGUUUAGGAUUUAGGGUUUGGGGUUUGAGAUUGGGGUUUAGGGUUAGCUCCCGGCGGCGAGCUUACUCCAGUUCCAGUAGUUUUAAAUAAACGAUCCGCCAACGGCGAAGCGCUGCUGCUCCUCUUUCUCUUUCCUCUGCCGAGCUCCAAGCCUUUUCCAUGGCGGUGUCCUGCUCACUUCCCUCCAUCAGUCCCUCCCUCCGCUCGUCCGCAAAGAUCUCCGCCACCUCUCCUCCCCUCUUCUUCUUCUUAUCGAAAAUUACUUUUUACUAAGUGAUUGAAAAUGAUUAAAUUUAUGUCAAUAAUGUUCAGGUGGAAUCAUCAGUUGCGGGCAAGACUGCAGUAAACCAUCCUUUUACCAGCCACAAUGUGUUUUAAUAGAUACUGACGCUCUAAAUACAUUGCCUGAUAGGGAAUUGGCAUCUGACAUUGGUGAGAUUGUAAAGUGUGGGCUCGUUAGGGAUGCCAAGUUGUUUGAGUGGCAAGAACAGAACUUGCAAUCUCUUUUGAGAUCCAUCCACCUGGCAUAUGCAAUCAAGCCAUCUUGUGAGAACAAAACUAAGGUUGGCUCCUUGGAUGAAAAAGGAAGAGGCAUCCGGGCAACCCUGAACUUUGAGCAUACGUUUGGACGCAAUUGAAACAGUGGAUGAUGGGCAAUGGCUCCAUGGAGAAGCAGUUGCAACUGGAUUGGUGAGACGAUGCAUUCGAUCUCAUUCACUCUCAAGUUAGUUUUGUUUCUAGAUGUUUCAAUCAAUGAAUGGAUAAUGUUGUAUUAUUUAAAUCAAGUCAUAAUUAAGAUAGAAUAUAUCCGUAUUUAAUGGAUAUGCUUUGAAUAAAUGAAAGGCUAAGGCUAGAUCUAGAUGCAUA